AUUGAACGCUGGCGGCAGGCCUAACACAUGCAAGUCGAGCGAGCGGCGGACGGGUGAGUAAUGUCUGGGAAACUGCCUGAUGGAGGGGGAUAACUACUGGAAACGGUAGCUAAUACCGCAUACCCUCGGAUGUGCCAAAAUGGGAUUAGCUUGUAGGUGAGGUAACGUCUCACCUAGGCGACGAUCCCUAGCUGGUCUGAGAGGAUGACCAGCCACACUGGAACGUAGACACGGUCCAGACUCCGACGGGAGGCAGCAGGGGGGAAUAUUGCACAAUGGGCGCAAGCCUGAUGCAGCCAUGCCGCGUGUAUGAAGAAGGCCUUCGGGUUGUAAAGUACUUUCAGCGGGGAGGCGUUACCCGCAGAAGAAGCACCGGCUAACUCCGUGCCAGCAGCCGCGGUAAUAC
rnacentral:rRNA from 1 species